AACGAACGCUGGCGGCAGGCCUAACACAUGCAAGUCGAGCGCUCUAGCAAUAGAGAGCGGCGCACGGGUGAGUAACGCGUAGGAAUCUACCUUGUAGUACGGAACAACAGUUGGAAACGACUGCUAAUACCGUAGACGCCCUUCGGGGGAAAGAAUUUCGCUAUAAGAUGAGCCUGCGUUAGAUUAGCUAGCUGGUGAGGUAAUGGCUCACCAAGGCUCCGAUCUAUAGCUGGUCUGAGAGGAUGAUCAGCCACACUGGGACUGAGACACGGCCCAGACUCCUACGGGAGGCAGCAGUGGGGAAUAUUGGGCAAUGGGCGCAAGCCUGACCCAGCCAUGCCGCGUGAGUGAUGACGGCCUUAGGGUUGUAAAGCUCUUUUAGUGGUGAGGAUGAUGACUGUACCAGCAGAAGAAGCCCCGGCUAACUCCGUGCCAGCCGCCGCCGUAA
rnacentral:rRNA from 1 species